AAUGAACGUUGGUGGCGUGGAUUAGGCAUGCAAGUCGUGCGAGAACCCUCCUUCGGGAGGGGGACAGCGGCGAACGGGGUAGUAAGGCGUCGGAACGUGCCCACGGGUCCGGGAUAGCGGCGGGAAACUGUCGGUAAUACCGGAUGACCUCUCUGGAGCAAAGGUGUGAUUCCGCCUGUGGAGCGGCCGACGUGAUACCAGCUUGUUGGUGAGGUAAUGGCUCACCAAGGCUCAGACGUCUAGGGGGUGUGAGAGCAUGGCCCCCACCACUGGGACUGAGACGCGGCCCAGACACCUACGGGUGGCUGCAGUCGAGAAUAUUCGGCAAUGGGCGCAAGCCUGACCGAGCGACGCCACGUGCGGGAUGACGGCCCUCGGGUUGUAAACCGCUGUCGAGGGGGAUGAAGUCACGAGGGGCAAUCCCUUCGUGUUGACAGAGCCCUGGAGGAAGCGCGGGCUAAGUACGUGCCAGCAGCCGCGGUAA
rnacentral:rRNA from 1 species